CAUCAAUCAUCAAAUCUCAAUCGGAUCUUUCACGACCCGAAUAAUUUCAACUCUCGUUCGAACAAAAACCUAACCCUAAUUCAUUAAUAUUCCAAUUGAAAAAUCAUUCCUUUCACCAUCCGCCAUGGCCAGCGAUUCCAAUGAACCUUCAUGUCGCAAGCACCGUCGAUCUUCUCCCUCUGAUGAAGACGGCACAGAAGAACCAAUCAAACGCCGUAAGCACCGCCACCACCGUCACCACCGCCACCACCGCCACCACAGCAAAAAACACGAAGAGAAAUCCGAUUCGAAACCCGAUAAGGUAACGGGUAAACCGAAUGAUGAAAUAGAGGAAGUACCUCAACAAGUUGGCACUGUUAUUGGCGUUUCUACUUUAGGGCUCGAUUAUGAUAUGGAGGAAGGUGAAAUUAUUGAGGACGAUGUGGCUGCUGCUGCUGCAGUUGGUGAUGGUGAUGAAUUGGACAUGGAAUUGCAUGAAGCUCAACGACAGGGACCUGCAGUGGAAAAAGUUGACCGGAAUUCCACUGCUUCAGGACGGCAUGAUGAGCAAAGGAAAAGUAAAAAGGCUGAUAAUUCUAGAGAAAGAAAGUCUAGUGACAAGCAUUUUGUGAAUGGUAGUUGCAUAGAUGAAUUUCAUAAAUUGGACUCUAAACCACAAAAGGAAGAUAUUUAUGCUGGUGAAGAAGGUAGAAAACAAAAGAGCUACGAUGAUGAUGAGAGCCAUUUACAGGAUGAAAGAAAAUCUUUGACUCCUGAAAGUUCUGGAAAGAGGCAUAGAUCUGUUGGGGUAUCAUCUUCUCAUGAUGAGCACCUUGAAGACAGACAUGUUACGAAGUUAUCCAAGUCACCUGAUAGGUUUAGAGGAAGAUCGCGAUCCAAAAGCGUAUUGGAGGAGUCUUUCCUCGUACCGAAGUCCCGCGAGAAAGAUGAUGCAUAUGAGAAGGAAAGCAGAUAUAGAAGUAACUUCGAUGAUGAAAAAAAUGGACGCAACAAGGACUAUCGACAUGGGAGCCGAGAGUCUUCAAGGGAUGUGGAGAAGGAGCAUAAUUCUAGUUGCAACAGACACUCUAGGGACAGGUAUUAUAGCAGGGAUAGUGUAGACAGGUAUCGGGAGAGUAGCAUCGAGAAUGAAAGGGAUAGAUUGAGAGAGAAAGACAGGGAGCGCGAGUUGGCUAGAGAAAGGGACAGAGAAAGGGGAAGGGAAAGAGAUAAGGAGAUGGAGAAGGAAAGGGAGAGGGAGAGGGACAGAGAGAGGGAAAGAGAGAAAGCUCGAGAUAGGGAAAGGGAGAGGGAUAGAGAACGGGAAUAUGAGAGGGGAAGGGAAAGGGAGAGGGAGAGGGAGAGGGAGAGGGAGAGAGAUAGAGAUAGAGAUAGAGAUAAUUUCAGAGAGAGGGAGGAGAGAGAAAGGAGGAACAGGGAUAGGGAAAGCAGAGGACGAAGUAGGGAGGCAGAUAGAGAUAAAUAUAGUGAUAAGUCUAGCAGGCACCGGAGAUAUGAUGACCUUGAUGAUGGUUUUGCCUAUAAUAGACGUAAUAGACAUAAUGAGAUUGACAAUCAGAGAGAAAGGAGGAGCGAUCACGCAAAAAAUGAAAAUGCAAAGCAAAAAGCUGUAGAGGCAGACAGUGAGAAAUCAAAAAGAGAUGAAGUUGAACAGGAGGACUAUCAGGAAAAAAUUGCUUUCCAGCUUGCUGAACAGGAAGACGAAGAAGAACUUGAAAGAAUUAAGGAGGAGAGCAGAAGGCGCAGGCAAGCUAUUCUUGAUAAAUAUAAGAAUCAGCAGUCCCAGAAGGAGCCAAUUACUCAAUCUGGGGACGUAGCUGAGCUUCUUAUGGAUCAGUCUACUCAGAAGCCUGCAGCUGGAGAUAAUGCCAUAACAGUGUCAUUUGAUGGUCAAACCAAUGGUACAGAUGUCCAUGUUGAUGAGCCAGCGUUUUCUGUUGGGAAAUCACCUCUACAAGCUGGUCAUAUUGCUGACGAGCAGGCUUCUGGAGCUGGUGGAUUGGGACAGGGUACACCAAAGAGUGAGAGGUCAGCAGACAUGUUUUGUGACGAUAUAUUUGGAGAAUCACCUGCUGGCAUCAGGAAAAUGGGCAAAGGAGAUGGCGUGGCAGUUCAGCGCAGUGGCCUUCAUGAUAACUGGGAUGAUCCGGAAGGGUAUUAUAGUUAUCGGUUCGGAGAAAUUCUUGAUGACCGUUAUGAGAUUGUUGCUGCUCAUGGUAAAGGAGUCUUUUCUACUGUUGUUCGUGCUAAAGAUCUCAAGGCUAGGCCUGGUGACCCUGAGGAAGUAGCAAUAAAAAUGAUACGCAAUAAUGAAACAAUGUAUAAAGCUGGUAUGGAAGAGUUGAUCAUUUUGAAGAAGCUAGUUGGUGCAGAUCCUGAAGACAAGCGCCAUUGUGUUCGUUUUAUUUCUACCUUCAAGUACCGGAAUCAUCUCUGUUUAGUUUUUGAGUCUCUACAUAUGAAUCUCCGUGAGGUUCUGAAGAAGUUUGGGCGUAACAUUGGACUCCAUCUCACUGCUGUUAGGGCGUUUUCGAAGCAACUCUUCAUUGCUUUGAAGCAUCUAAAAAAUUGUGGCGUGCUUCACUGUGACAUUAAACCCGACAACAUGUUGGUAAAUGAAUCAAAAAAAGUGUUGAAGCUUUGUGACUUUGGUAAUGCUAUGUUUGCUGGCAAAAACGAAAUUACUCCAUACCUCGUGAGCCGUUUUUAUCGUGCCCCAGAGAUCAUUCUUGGCUUGUCGUACGAUCAUCCAAUGGAUAUAUGGUCAGUUGGAUGCUGUUUGUUUGAGCUUUAUGCUGGGAAAGUCUUAUUUCCAGGCGCAACUAAUAAUGACAUGCUUCGUCUUCAUAUGGAAUUGAAAGGUCCAUUUCCGAAGAAGAUGCUUAGAAAGGGUGCAUUUACAGAUCAACAUUUUGACCAAGAUCUCAAUUUUCUUGCCACCGAAGAGGAUCCUGUUACAAAGAAGGCUAUAAGGAAGCUGAUUGUCAACAUCAAGCCAAAAGAUAUCAGUUCAAUAAUUUCAGGUUCUCCGGGUGAAGACCCGAAGAUGUUAGCUCAGUUUAAGGAUCUUAUGGAGAGAAUCUUCGUAUUAGACCCAGACAAGAGAAUAACUGUUUCCCAGGCAUUGAGCCACCCAUUCAUCACGGUGCAUUGGAGCUUGGCAUGGUUGAAGUUGCAGAGAAGAUUGUUGACCGUGGAUGAUCUAUAUCUUGGCAGUUCAUUCUUUCAGUGGAAUGUUUUCUUUUCUAUCGAUAUCUACCAGGGCUUUGAGGCAAGAUUCAGUGAUUUAGAUGCUUAAAAGGCACCCUGGCGAAGGUACCUUGGUUUGUUUGUUAGGAAUUACUGUGACACGCUUAAAAUGUUAUGGCUGUUCUCAAUUCCUCUAACAUCAGCCAUAAUUUUUGUUUCUCCUUUGUGUUACUUUUUAAUUUUCUUUUGACAAGUUCUGUUUCCUGAACUUUGAUUUGGUCUUUCCUGAAAAACUGCAUGCCUGAGGGUGGCUUGUUAAUGAGCCUCCUUAGGCUAGAAUAGUGAUUCUAUCAAGAGCUAGAGUAUUUCUUCUAUUUGGAGUCAUUGUUGUUUCUUCUAUUUUUCAUUUCUUUGUACAAAAACACUUUCUAAUGAAGUUGCAUUGCAUCUGAUUCAUGGUAUGGUCAUCCUGGAGCAUUGUAUGACUGGAGAUGAUCAGAUGCAGCCUUGAAGUGAGAGUUGUUUCAGGUGUGGUUGCAUGCAUCUGCAAUUCUAGAAAGAUAUAGCAGAAGAAGAUGCACAAGAAAUAACAUUUGCUAUGCCAAUGACGCCAAUGAUAUUGAAUGAAUGGUAUCGAAUAACUCAAUCCAUUUUUAACGCACUUAGACUUGCAUCAAUUUUGACACUUAAAAAUAUAUAUUGCUCUAUUGGCAAGGCUUGGCAUUUGCCAAUAUAUCGAGAAGAUGAGGUGAGGUAUCAGUAGCAUCAAUAGCAAAGAGGUUGGAUAUUAGUUAUUCGAGUGGAAUUAUUAAACUGAACUUAGUCAGUCAUGAAUUGUAACGCACUGUCAUGAGUUGCAAACCAAUACCUGUCCAACUCUGGCUAGGAACACAUAAAUAUAUAAUGGUGGCUGCAACGUCAAAUGUAGUCAAGAUUUGAAGGCUAUGGAUUAGAAAUUUUAGUUUUUUCAAAAUUGGGUUUUAUAUUAAUACUUUAUAUAUUUUUAACAGAUUUCUUGUGACUAAUACAUUAUUGCCGAACCCGUAACUGUAGCUCCAUCCGUGGCUGCGACUAACUGGUACAAUUCUUAGUCAACUUGCUCAACGGUCCCACAAUGGACUACUUGGUUAAUGUUGAGAGUUACAGGAUGUUUAAUUAUUAGACUUAUAAGAAGGUAAGAAGUUUCCAGGAAAUGUAGUAUUCCAAACUAAUAAAAGAUCUUCUGUAUAUCAUCAUGUUUGGUAACA